rnacentral:rRNA from 1 species
CCUACGGGGGGCAGCAGUAGGGAAUCUUUCACAAUGGGCGAAAGCCUGAUGGAGCAACGCCGCGUGCAGGAUGAAGGCCUUCUGGUUGUAAACUGCUUUUAUAAGCGAGAAAUAUGAUGUUAACUUAUGAAUAAGGAUCGGCUAACUACGUGCCAGCAGCCGCGGUCAUACGUAGGAUCCGAGCAUUAUCCGGAGUGACUGGGUGUAAAGAGUUGCGUAGGUGGGAUAAUAAGUAGCUAGUGAAAUCUGGUGGCUCAACCAUUCAGACUAUUAGCUAAACUGUUAAGCUCGAGACCGUUAGGGGUAACUGGAAUUUCUAGUGUAGGAGUGAAAUCCGUAGAUAUUAGAAGGAACACCAAUAGCGUAGGCAGGUUACUGGGACGGUUCUGACACUAAGGCACGAAAGCGUAGGGAGCAAACGGGAUUAGAUACCCUAGUAGUC